GCCAGUGUGGCGUAGUGCUUUGAGUGUUGGACUGUGACUCUGGAGAGUAGGGUUUAAAUCCCUACUCAGCCA